AUCUCCUCUGUGAUCAUACUGCACUUUCUCCAAGUGCGUGUGCAGUAGUAUACCUCACACACAGGCGGCUUACUUCCCGCCAAGAACACUUGCUAGCCCUAUCCAGAGAAUCAGGGAGAGACGGGAAGAAAUGGACAGAAGAUAGCUGCCAUUCUGAAUUUGUACAGCCAGGGAACAUCCCAAGACCCAGCAGCCAUCAGGAGACCAGCAGCCAUCAUCUCAGUCAUUGAUGACGAUGGAGAUGUAGCUGCUGUGCCAGUCCAUCCAGGAAGAGUCUACGUGGUCCUUGAGGAGAACGUGGUUAUGAAGGAUUUCCGGUGCUGGCCUGAUGCAUUUGUAUGGUUGUACGGGCUAAUGUACUCACUCCAACCUGGAUACCCGAUUUGCACGAAGAACACGUUUGGGUUUAUACAAAAAGUGUUGUUAAACUUGGAUGGAGACAGAAUGAAGCCAAAGGUCCUUGCUUUGAAAAACCAACUGUAAAAUACCAAUACCAAAAAACAUUUAUGGUGCUAAACAAUUGUAAAUAGCUACGUUAUCCUAUAAGGAAAAGAGAUUUAGGGAUAAAAAUUGAAAAAACAACUGAAGACUAAAUGUUUUGUAGGCAAAUGGCAAGUAAAAUGUCUGCCUGCAUUUGAUUUGAUCUGUGCCUGUAGUCAAACUGAUCACAAAAAUGAGAAAGUCAUGCAAUGCUAUUGGCCUUUAAUCUUAACAUGUACAGAGAUACAAGAGUAACUUGACUUCCGUUGGUGUAGAGUUUAAUUGAAAGUGUUACUGUUUGGGAAAUCUGAACAUUGACAUUGUGAAGUUACCUUACAAAUCCUUGUAUAUAGGAAGCUUUAGAGGCAUUGGCCACAAAUCUCACAUUGCUGACGUCAUCAUAUGAAAAAUGGCCGAGGUCCCAGAAGAUGAAAAUGGAAAGGGAAUCUUCAUGGAGUUGUAAGGAGUGGUCGUUUGCAUACCUGUGUAGUGUUGUUGACCGGUACAUAUAAGAACGUUGGGGAAACAACGUUCACACACUGUCUACUUGCAUUUAGAACGUUUAUUGUCAGUUUAAUAAUGAUUCGGCGUAACACCUUAGUCAGGAAUGAAGGUUUAGGACCGAAACAUUGCGUGCUUAAGUACAUUUUAUAAUCUGUAAGUAUUACUUUGUUUGGUAAACAUAAUGCAGUGAAAAUCGUUGUGGAGGAAGAAAUGUAAAUUGUCAACAUUAAUCUUCAUUUUAAACAGUUGAAUGUAGUCAAGUUGUUAGACUGAAAUGGAUGUCGGCACAUCACUACCUCGUUAUUUACAUUUUAAAACCUUCAGCGCAGCUUUUAGUUGCGUGGAAGCUACCACAUCAGUUGAAAGUGUUAAUUAGAGAAGGAAGGGUCAUUAUACUGUGUUUAUGUUUUAAUAGUUAAGUUGUUGAUGGGGAAUGUUGCAGUGUUACACAAUAUUGAAUCGAUUGAAAGUUGGAGGUUUGUUAUCUGAGUCUUUUAAAUGUUCUGUUCAAAUGAGUCAUGCUGUACAGAAAUGGAAUUCAUCUAUUGAUGGAUGCUAAAAUAGAUGAAUCAUGUUUGGUGCAUUCAUGUAAUUAGAGAUGUGUGUUUCUGAAGACGCAGUGUUAAAACACUGUUUUAUGUUUAACUUACUCAAAAGUUGUUUGCAAACUUGAACAUGUUGAUUCGGUAUUUGUUGAAUGCACUCCAAAGAAUAGAAUAACUAAAGUAAUUAAUUACAGUGAUACAACAUGAAUGAUUUAAGUUAUUAAUCAAGUGAUAUUAACAUAUACAAUAGUAAUAUUACUUGGAAUUGUAAGUAAGUUGUGCCAAAGUUACACAGUUUGGAUACUUAAACAAUUUAAUUCACUGUGACAUGAUAGAAUCAAGUUAAGUGACAAGUUGUUAUGGCUUUAAUGUUUUGAGUACAAACAUAACUUUACAACUAAAGUUAUUGUAGGGAGUAAAAGUAAGUUAAUGGACAGACAUAUUUUAAGUAUUCUGUACUCAAAAAAAUAUACUUCAACAUGUUGCCCAGACUCCAAAUAUUUACUAGAUCUAGGUCAAACUACUAUGUUUAGGUAACUCUUAAAAUUACCAUUAGUGGACAGAAAUUAUUUAAGUGUGUGUUACACUACAAAUCUACUUCAUUAGCAAACUAUGUUGAGUACAAUGUACUUAAAAUAUUUCUCUACUUACUAAAACGUUUUGUGUUUAAUCAACUUUAAAUUGUGGCCCAUUUGGGAUGAUGUGAUACUUUUAGUUUGAGUAAAGCCAGCUCUAACGUUGUAAGUAACUGUACUCUAGAAUACUAGUGCAGCGGGGUUCCACAAGACUGUAGAGUAAUGAUAACUAAUAUGGGUUUACAGUGCAGCCGCCCUUCAUUCACACAAUAGUCCAUGACCCUAAACCAUCCGUUCCCCAUCGGUCAAUGCCCAUCUCUAUAUUACCUAAAUAUUGAUGUUAAGAAUUUUGUGGUGGAACUGUC